UAUCUGUCAGUUCUGAGAAGUCUUGCCCCUACCAUUUUAUCUUAUUUUCUCUAAUUCUUGGCUACAGCUUCAGCUUCUAAGAUGAAAUGACAAGAGCCAGUUUACCCUCCUAUCUGAAAUAUCAAUGGAAACCAGAUACAAUAUAGGAAACAAUGGUUUUCAAAACAUUUGCACAUUGGGCAACAAAGGACAGUGAUUCCUUAAAAACAGAAAGCCUAAGUAAGCCCUACAAAUGCUUUAGCGAAUUACCUUAAAAGAGUUUUCAGGUACACACAUCUACGAGAAUUCAUUACCAGCAGACCUGCGCAAGAAAUGUGAGAGGAAACCCCUCAGGCAGAAGGAAAACGACACCUGCCCACGGAAAUACAGCUCUACACAAAGGAGUGAAGAGCACCAGGAACGGGCUGGAUGAGCAACAUCUGAGAUUUGGGAAGUGCUGAAGCUCCAUUCAGUCCACUGCGGUGCCCACAGCACAUCGGGAAGGAGGAGCAGGAACUCAGGAGGGGGGCAGACCUGGCUCCAGUCUCGGCUCGUACUAGCUCCGUGACCAAGGACAAGCCUCCCGAUUUCUCUGAGCCUUACGCCCUCAACUGUGGAUCCAGGUUAAUUAUGCCUCCUCCAUGAAGUCAUGGUGAGAAUGAAAUCAAGUAAUAUAUGUCACUGGAUCAACAUGAGCACUAUCCAAGGAACUGUACCCAAGGAGCCCCAUCUACAUCUGAAUUUGAUUUAGAUGAUGAAAUCUCAGACUCAGAAUCUGAUGCUAAAAUUGGUUGAAAAUUUGGGGUUCUGGUGAGGGGAGAAAUGUAUUUUGCACGUGGGAGAGAUGUGAAUCAUCGGCACCAGAGGGCAGAUUAUUGUAAGUCUUUAAACAAUGGACCUCAGUGGAUCCUGUCUUCUCAUGUUCAUACAUCUUUACAACUGAUAUUGCCUUUUCUUUCAUCAAGAGGUAGAAUUAAUUCUCUGCCCUCUUGAAUCUGGGGCUGAUGUAAUGACUUGCUUUUUUCAAUAGACUGUGAUGCAGAUGA